UGGUAGGCAUACAGCAGGGAGUUUACCUAGUGGGAAUUUCACUACCGCGCUUUUAAUGUAUUUCUAUUUUUACCAUUGAAACUCUAACAGGACUCUGCUGCUGGGGUACUAAUGCAUAUUUGGUAAGCAAUAAACUAAAGACCACCAAACCAAGCAAGCAAGAAAACAAACAAACAAACAAACAAGGCCUACAUUGUAUUUGGACGGUGAAAGAACGUCCUCGGCGUAUAAUCUGAAACUUUGGAUGUAUGUGGCUACAUCGCUACAUUCUGGUGGCUGCAGCGGGAGGUGCCCUUCAUGACACAGAGGAGUAGAGAAAGUACUGGAAAGGCAAGGGAGAAGUCGAUGACAUACCACACGUGCCCCUGAGAGGUAAUAGCAGAGGAGAGAGAGAACAGAGCUGCAGCAGCUGCAAGCAUGACUGUGGAUUCCCCUGUUCCAGAGCCACUAACACUGGCAGUAGUGACCGAGGAAUGGCAGAACUGGCAGGUGAAAUUUGGGUUUCAAAUACAGUGUCAAAAGGAGGGGAGAAAAAUCUUCAUAAUGGGUUUUCAUAACAGAAUGAUGUAG